rnacentral:rRNA from 1 species
GACGAACCGUGCGAACGCUGUUCGGGAUCACUGGGCUUAAAGGGUGCGUAGGCGGGUUGUCCAGUCUGGGGUGAAAUCCCACGGCUCAACCGUGGAACUGCCUCAGAUACUGACGACCUCGAGGGAGGUAGGGGCGAGCGGAACUGUGGGUGGAGCGGUGAAAUGCGUUGAUAUCCACAGGAACUCCGGUGGCGAAGGCGGCUCGCUGGACCUCUUCUGACGCUGAGGCACGAAAGCUAGGGGAGCAAACGGG